rnacentral:rRNA from 1 species
UACGUAGGGGGCUAGCGUUGUCCGGAAUCAUUGGGCGUAAAGAGCGCGUAGGCGGCCCGAUAAGUCUGCUGUGAAAGUCCAGGGCUCAACCCUGGAAUGCCGGUGGAUACUGUCGGGCUAGAGUACGGAAGAGGCGAGUGGAAUUCCUGGUGUAGCGGUGGAAAUGCGCAGAUAUCAGGAGGAACACCAAUGCGAAGGCAGCUCGCUGGGACGUUACUGACGCUGAGCGCGAAGACGUGGGGAGCAAACAGGAUUAGA